rfam:Gossypium arboreum cultivar AKA8401 contig_963_11, whole genome shotgun sequence.
AACCCAAGGUAAGGGCACCUUUUCAACAGGUCAUUGUAUCUCUCCUAUGCAUCAUAAAGUGUUUCUAAAUCAUCUGCAUAAAAGAAGAAAUGCCAUUCCUUAAUUU